GGGGAUAGCCAUUAGAAAUAGUGGAUAAUACCGAAUACGCUCAUCGACCCUGUGGGGAUAUGAGGAAAACAGGCUACGGCCUGGCUCGAGGAUGGGCCCGCGUCCCAUUAGCUAGUUGGUGAGGUAACGGCCCACCAAGGCGACGAUGGGUAUCCGGCCUGGAGAGGGUGUACGGACACAUUGGGACUGAGAUACGGCCCAAACUCCUACGGGAGGCAGCAGCUAAGAAUAUUCCGCAAUGGACGAAAGUCUGACGGAGCGACGCCGCGUGGAUGAAAAGAAGGCCGGAAGGUUGUAAAAUCCUUUUGCUGAUGAAGAAUAAGUGUGGUAGGGAAUGACCGCAUGAUGACAUUAGUCGGUGAAUAAGCCCCGGCUAACUACGUGCCAGCCGCGGC
rnacentral:rRNA from 1 species